UACGUAGGGUGCGAGCGUUAAUCGGAAUACUGGGCGUAAAGCGUGCGCAGGCGGUGAUGUAAGACAGAUGUGAAAUCCCCCGGGCUCAACCUGGGAACUGCAUUUGUGACUGCAUCGCUGGAGUGCGGCAGAGGGGGAUGGAAUUCCGCGUGUAGCAGUGAAAUGCGUAGAUAUGCGGAGGAACACCGAUGGCGAAGGCAAUCCCCUGGGCCUGCACUGACGCUCAUGCACGAAAGCGUGGGGAGCAAACAAGG
rnacentral:rRNA from 1 species